UACGGGGGGGGCAAGCGUUGUUCGGAAUUACUGGGCGUAAAGGGCUCGUAGGCGGCCAACUAAGUCGAACGUGAAAUCCCUCAGCUUAACUGGGGAACUGCGUCCGAUACUGAUUGGCUUGAAUCCGGAAGAGGGAUGCGGAAUUCCAGGUGUAGCGGUGAAAUGCGUAGAUAUCGUAAGGAAGACCAGUGGCGAAGGCGGGUCUCUGGACAGUUCCUGACGCUGAGGCACGAAGGUCAGGGGAGCAAACGGG
rnacentral:rRNA from 1 species